GACGAACGCUGGCGGCGUGCCUAAUACAUGCAAGUCGAACGCAGUGGGGACGGGUGAGUAACACGUGGGUAACGUCCCAUCAGAGGGGAUAACACUUGGAAACAGGUGCUAAACCGAUACUGGCGGAGGGACCCGGGGUGUAUUCGCUAGUUGGUGACGAAACGGCCUACCAAGGCCACGAUGCAUAGCCGACCUGAGGGGGGAAUCGGCCACACUGGGACUGAGACAGGGCCCAGAUUCCUACGGGAGGCAGCAUUAGGGAAUCUUCGGCAAGGGACGAAAUUCUGACGGGCCAACGCGGCGUGAGUGAAGAAGGUUUUAGGAUCGUAAACCUCUGUGUGUGGAGAAGCGGUAUCUAACCAGAAAGCCACGGCUAACUACGUGCCAGCAGCCGCGGUAAUUC
rnacentral:rRNA from 1 species